CCUACGGGAGGCUGCAGUGGGGAAUAUUGGGCAAUGGGCGCAAGCCUGACCCAGCCACGCCGCGUGAAGGAAGAAGGCUUUCGGGUUGUAAACUUCUUUUAAGAGGGAAGAGCAGAAGACGGUACCUCUUGAAUAAGCUACGGCUAACUACGUGCCAGCAGCUGCGGGAAUACGUAGGUGGCAAGCGUUGUCCGGAUUUCGUGGGUGUAACGGGCGUGUAGCCGGGCUGACAAGUCAGAUGUGAAAGCCCGUGGCUCAACCACGGAACUGCAUUUGAAGCUGUCGGUCUUGUGUUGCGGAGAGGCAGGCGGAAUGCGUGGUGUAGCGGUGAAAUGCGUAGAUAUUAGGAGGAACACCAGUGGCGAAGGCGGCCUGCUGGACGACAACUGACGGUGAGGCGCGAAAGCGUGGGGAGCGAACAGGAUUAGAUACCCGAGUAGUC
rnacentral:rRNA from 1 species